rnacentral:rRNA from 1 species
UACAGAGGUCACAAGCGUUGUUCGGAUUCAUUGGGCGUAAAGGGUGCGUAGGCGGCGCGGUAAGUCGGGUGUGAAAUCUCGGAGCUUAACUCCGAAACUGCAUUCGAUACUGCCGUGCUUGAGGACUGGAGAGGAGACUGGAAUUUACGGUGUAGCGGUGAAAUGCGUAGAUAUCGUAAGGAAGACCAGUGGCGAAGGCGGGUCUCUGGACAGUUCCUGACGCUGAGGCACGAAGGCCAGGGGAGCAAACGGG